rnacentral:misc_RNA from 1 species
UCUCCGUUGGUGAACCAGCGGAGGGAUCAUUACUGAGUGAGGGCCUCCGGGCUCGACCUCCAACCCUUUUGUGAACCACCUCGUUGCUUCGGGGGCGACCCUGCCGUUCGCGGCGUGGGGCGCCGGAGCCCUUCAAACCCUGCGUAACUGAGUCGUCGGAGUUUAAACAAAUUAAAAAAAACUUUCAACAACGGAUCUCUUGGUUCGGGCAUCGAUGAAGAACGCAGC